rnacentral:rRNA from 1 species
GACGAACGCUGGCGGCGUGCUUAACACAUGCAAGUCGAACGGUGAAGGGACUGGUUUUGCUGGUCCUGGAUGAGUGGCGAACGGGUGAGUAACACGUGAGUAACCUGCCCCCUUCUUCUGGAUAACCGCAUGAAAGUGUGGCUAACACGGGAUAUUCUGGGUCUGUCGCAUGGUGGGCCUGGGAAAGAUUGCGCCUUUUUUGGUGUUUUUGGUGGGGGAUGGGCUCGCGGCCUAUCAGCUUGUUGGUGGGGUGAUGGCUUACCAAGGCGGUGACGGGUAGCCGGCCUGAGAGGGUGGACGGUCACACUGGGACUGAGACACGGCCCAGACUCCUACGGGAGGCAGCAGUGGGGAAUAUUGCACAAUGGGCGCAAGCCUGAUGCAGCGACGCCGCGUGAGGGAUGGAGGCCUUCGGGUUGUGAACCUCUUUCGCCAGUGAAGCAGGCCUGCCUCUUUUUGUGGGUGGGUUGACGGUAGCUGGAUAAGAAGCGCCGGCUAACUACGUG